rnacentral:lncRNA from 1 species
CCCCUCCCCCGCUCCUUCCCGACCUGCACAGCAGCGAUCUCAGACUCUAGGAGAGGGAGUGAUGUUCUCUCCUACCGUUCCAGUGCCUCCAAGGCUAGCUUCUAAAACCCUUGAGAAGUUCCUGAGUGAUGAGGAUGAUAGGAGCAUCUUCGAUUAUUCGCAACAAGCCCCUUUCAACCAUACCUGGGUUUAUGCUAAUAAGGUAACUCUAGAGCCAAGGCUUUAUGAAACUGGCAGCUUUCACUUCCUGUGUCUUGGGAUGCUUGCUCUUGGAACCCAGCCACCAUGGUCUGAGGAACUCCAAAUAGCCCAUGGAGAGGUUCAGGUGAAGAGGAACUAGAUCCCCAGCCCACAGAACUGAGUUCCCAGACAAGGGCCUGUACCAACUCGCUAGCCAUGUGAGAGAGCCAUCUUGAAAAUGGAUCUGCUAGCCUAUGUCCAAGCAGCCUCAGCUAAUGAUGUCCAGUAGAGAUGAGCUGCCCCUGUCAAGCUCUGCCGAAAUUACAGAUCCAUAAGAAGAAAAAAAAAGGAGUGGCUUGUUUCAAGCCACUGUGUUUUGGAGUGAUUUGUUAAAUGCCAAUAGAAACUAG